GUUUCAACAUUUAGUGAAAUAUCACAAACCUAAUGAGUGAAUUAGCGAAUUGUUUCCCUUUGAAAUCAACACGCCAUUAUCGGUGGAUACAUGUCUGAAACAGGGUCAGAGAAUACAUGCAGUUAUUGCUCUGAAUAUACGCGGAUAUUUAAAGUGCAUGGCGGAUUUAAUAAUUGUUAUGGAUAACCUCCAGCAGUAAGAAAUAUAAAGGCUCACUGCAGUUUUGAGUGCUUAACAAGUAUUGACCCCAUAUUAUGCUCAGCAAGUAGGGCCCUUGUAUUUCUGUGAAUCCUCAUGCAGUACAGUACCGCUGUUGCAAGAGGAGCAAACAGUGUGGUAUCUAUGGUCCACUAUCACUUCAAGCAUCAUGGCUAUGGAGAAAAGAAUGUUUCAUUACAUAUGGACAAUUAUAGUGGACAAAAUAAGAAAAAUGUUGUAAUAAGCUAUGGAGUGUGGCUUGUUAUGAUGGGUCUACAUGAUGACUUGGAGUACAACCUGAUUGAGGCCCGGCAUACAGAAUUCAGUCCUGAACAUGUUUAGAAUGUCUUCUGCAUGACCUGGUAUAGAUAGUAUUCUUGAAGGAUUAUAACUUCAACACAGAGACGGAGAUUAAUAUUUUUAGGCAGGGGGUUGGCAUGACAGGCAAAUUCACCAACCGUAUUACUAUUCCUGAGCUGGAUGCCAGUCGACAGUGAUACCUGUAUAAUGAAAUAGCGCCCCUUUGCAGCAACAGCAAUGUAUGAUCAAAAUCAGCAGUGGCAAAGCCAUUAAAAUUGAUAAUUCAAGUCAUUUAAAACGAAGAAUGAAUGAAAAAAGGUGAUUAACAUUUAAAGUAAUACAGAGAAAGAGCUCUGAAAUUUUGAUUAAUUUGAAAGUGUUUUUGAUUUUUUGGAGAUGUACUAGACCCAAAUUCCAUAUAUUUGAAAAAGAACAAAUGAUACAUAUAGUUUAUGUAAACAUUGAAUUAACAACUUUAUGGUGUCAAGAGUACUAUGCAUUUGUUAAAUAUUGACUCACUAUAUACAUGUAAGGCUGAACACAGUAUAAAUGUGAAAUUCCUCUAAAACACUGGAAGAUUUUUCAACAAUAAUUGUAACAUAUAUGGUAGUAAUGUACAUUUUUUUUCAUUACGACAGUUGGAUUAUAUAGAUCUACGAAUAUUUUCUGCUGUAUUCAAACUGCAUGUAAUCAUUUCUGUCGGCAGUAUCAUGUUUUUUUUCCCUUUUCAUGAACAAUUAAUUUAACCUGUCUUGAAAGCACAUUAUAUGUAUAAUUUGUAAAACAUACGUUGGAUUAUUGUGGAAACAAUUUAGUUUUUGUAUGCCUAAUUAUAUAUUAUUGCCGUUAGUAUCAUCUAACUCUUUUAAUAUGAUCAAGACAUUUAAUAAGGCAGUUUUCUUAAACUAUUACUGUGUGUUAAAUGAGAUUAUGUAGUAUUAUGUUUACGGAAUUAACUUCGUAACCAUGGAAACAUUUUUCUGUUGUUCUAUAUUAUGUCUUGAAAAAAACAUUGUUUGAAGAACACUUUUCAGUGGUGAAUUUUUUAAAUUUUUUACAUGUAAUGGUAAAUGCUGAAAGUGUUCUACAAAAACUUAGCAAAAACGUCAUUGUUGUCUCAUUGAAGCAUAUACUGCAACUCCAUUGUAACCAUAGCAACAGAAAUAUAUUGUAUUAUUUAUUAAUAAUGAUCUUCACAAACAAAUUAUAUAUGUUAUUUUUCUUAAAGAAUGACCUAAAUUGGUUUUAUUCCAUAAAAAACAGACAUAGCAAAUAUUCUCAUUUUUAUCUCCGUUUCCAUGGCAACCAUAUAUUUUUUUGCCUCAAAUUAUAGGCGUUGCUUAAGGGUUAUAUCUUAGCAUAUCUGAAUGUUAAUUAUACGUUCUGAUGUAAUUGUUAUAAGAGAUUUCCGUGUUUCCAUAAAGAAAAUCAUUCGGUUGCCAUGGCAACAGCACAAUUUCAAAUGAAUUAAAAUAUGAGAUUUUGCAUUCUGAGUUGUUGAUCAUUCAUUAUAAUAAUAUUUCAACAACAUUCGAUGUUGUGCCAUUUUAACCUAUAAGUGAACCCAGCCCUUUUGUUACUACGGAAUUUCAUUCAUAAAAACUGCACUAAUCAUGCAAAUCGUGAAUAGGUGAUAUACUUCACAUAUUUCUAUAGUUUAUUUCUGUGUCACGUUUAGAUCAUGUUAUAUAUACAUGUAGCUUUUGAUAGUGUAUAUUGGUCAUGUUGUAGGUUUUAGAUGAAUGACAUAUGUAUAUUUAUAUGAUAGUGUAAAUUAUGUAAAUUCAUCUUGUUUAUCAGCAUUUUGUUUCAUUUUAAGUAACUUGACUCUAAACUAAGUGUUAAGUAUAAUUUCCAAAGUAAGUUUUAUUUCGUACUUCAACUUUUUCUCUCCAUUCUAUUUUAUUUUAUUUCACUUCUUUCCAAAUACGUAAAACAGAAAGAAUGUUACUCAUUCCAUUUAUACUAUUGUUAGCGAACAUUUUCUUCGCAAAAUCUAUUUUUUGUUUUUCGGAGUUCAGUUUCCUAAGAUUGUUUUUAGGUGGUUGCAAGUUGUUGUUUUUGUACAGGUCUAUGUUGCUGCUCAGUCUGAUCCAAUAUGUUCUAAUUUUGUAUCCAAAUGGGUAAUUGUUUAAAUUUAUACCGAGCAGCAAUAGGACUUUUUUAUACUGCGACAAAGGGUGUCCUAAAAACGGAGUCGUUUUACACAUACCCAUUGCUUGAACUAUAUUUGAGCACCAAACUAAUUGUUAUACUGUUCCUUCGGUUUGUAACUAAACGCGGUAUGUUUCUCAAUUCGAAUGGAUACCAUAUUCACGCAAGUCUUCUUACGAUGGCGAUAAUUUUGGAUUUUAUUUUUUUUGAAUACAAACCUUUCAGUUCAAACAUUACACGUUAUCAUCAUGUGGCCGAUCCUCAGUCGAUUGAACUGCAUGAAUUACCACAGCAUUUGCUUAUUUUCAUUCUUAUGAAAAUAAUAUUGUCCGGAGAUAUUGAAUUAAAUCCUGGCCCAGACAGUAAUAACCCCGGGCAAAGUUGUCUCUCUAUAUUUCAUCAAAAUAUUAGAAGCUUAAGAAAUAAAGUAAAUUUUAUUUCCGACCAUUGGCUAGAAUACGACAUUCUUUGUUUUACCGAAACUCAUUUAAGUAACAAUGUCACCGAUACAUCUAUAACUCUAGAAGGUUUCAGUAAUAUCUACCGAAAAGAUUGUAUCGCUUAUUCGGGUGGUAUGUUAUUGUAUGUGUCGGAAAAUUAUUAUCGAAAAGGGUAUUCGAAGUUGAAAACUGUCUAGAUGAAUCUAUAUGGGUAGAAAUUAGAGGUCCGCAUGAAAAAUAUUUAAUCUGUACUACGUAUCGUCCGCCAAAUUGUGAUAAUGAUUAUUGGAACAAACUAACUUAGUGUCUUGAAAAAGCAUUUGAAUUAUGUCGGAAUAUCUUACUUCUUGGAGAUAUAAAUGAAGAUCAGCUGAACCUGAAUAACAGUAGAUUUCGUAAUAUUUUAUUGGUAAAUGAUAUGGUCAAUAUAAUAACCGAGCCAACUAGAGUGACUACUCACUCAUCGACUCUCAUUGAUCCUAUAGCAGUGUCCAAUAAUAUUUCCGUUCUGAAUUCGAAUAUUUAUAUUACGCCUAAAGACAUAAGUGAUCAUUACGGUACAUACGUUUUCAUUCGAUUUAAACAGAUAUCUUCUGCUCCAUACAGAAGGCGCGUAUGGAAUUAUAAAAGAGCUGAUUUUGUAAAGCUUCAUCACUUAAUUCGUACUAAAGACUGGUCCUUUAUUAACCUAAGCUCGAUUGACGAAGCUUGUGUUUUGUUUACAACGACAUUUUUAGAUCUGGCAAUGCAAUGUAUACCUACUAGUAUUGUUACUGUAAGGCCCAACGAUCGGCCUUGGUAUGACUCGGCAAUUCGUCAUAUGUCUCGUAAAAGAGAUCGGCUAAAAAUAAAGCUUUAAUUUCUAAUAAGCCAUCUGAUUGGCUAGCCUUCAAAGGAGUAAGAAACAAAGUUAGUAAUUUAAAAAAGCAUGCGAAGGAAAUAUUUUAUAAUAACUUAGAGUUUUCAAUUGCUGACUUAAGUUCCAAUAAUCCUAGACAAUACUGGAAAACGGUUAAACUAUUAUUAAAGGAAAAUAAAGGUUGUGAAUAUAUUCCUCCGCUCUCUACGGAAAAUGAUAAUAUUAAAUCCUUCUAUUUUACUGAUUUAGAAAAAGCAAACUGUUUGAACGACUAUUUUACCUCAAUCUCAACCAUUGAUGAUUCUCAAUCUAUUCUUCCAAAUUUUGUUCAAAAAAGCAAUGUUACUUUAGAAAAUCUAGUUAUACAAGAACAAGAAAUUAUUGAUAUUCUUUCCUCAUUAAUGACAAAUAAAGCAAGCGGACCAGAUGACAUUAGUCACAGAAUGCUUAAAGAAACGAAAUUAUCUGUAUGUGUACCCCAUAUGUAUCUUAUUUAAUAGAUCUUUAGUAGAAACAAUUUAUCCUGAUACUUGGAAAUCAGCAGUUGUUAUGCCAUCAUUUAAAAAAGGUAGUAAAAAUAGUCCAGUUAAUUACAGACCCAUUUCCUUGAUAAGUUGUGUAGGGAAGGUAAUGGAAAGAAUUAUUUUUAAACACGUUCAUAAUCAUUUGCACUCAAAUAAUCUUAUUUACCCUAAACAAUCCGGCUUUUUACAUGGUCAUUCCACUGUUUACCAGUUGAUAGAUAUAUAUAUCAUCAAAUAUGUCAAGCUUUUGAUAAAAGACAAUCUACAUGUAUGGUGUUUUGUGAUAUUUCUAAAGCUUUUGACAGGGUUUGGCACGUUGGUCUAAUUUUCAAAUUACGUCAAUAUGGGAUUAAUGGCAAACUCUUGCAAUGGAUUAAAAACUACCUUUCUAAUCGUAAUCAAAAAGUAUUUGUAAAAUCAACAUAUUCAGAAGCAAAAAAUACCACAGCUGGAGUUCGCCAAGGAUCGGUCCUUGGCCCUUUAUUCUUUCUAGUAUACGUAAAUGAUAUAGCAGGAAACCUUCUAUGUAUAACACGUCUUUUUUGCGGAUGAUUGUUCUCUUACCGUCUCUUCUAACAUCUUAAAUUUUAUCGAAAACACUUUAAAUAGAGAUCUAACCAUAUUACCAGAAUGGUCCCACCAAUGGUUGGUUAACUUUAAUCCGAAUAAAACUGAAGUUAUGUUUUUCUCCUUGAGUAAAGACCAGCGUCCGCCUCUCUUUUUUGAAAACACUUAGCUAAAUUUUGUUGAACAUCAUAAACAUCUUGGCCUUACCUUUAGUGAAGAUGGCAGAUGGCACGAACAUAUAUGUAAUAUUAUGUCAUCUGCCUCUAGAGUUCUUGGCUCCAUGAGAACUCUGAAAUUUAAACUUAAAAGAACAACCCUUAAUCAAAGCUACAUUUCCUAUACGCGACCAAUUCUGGAAUACGGCUCAAUAGUCUGGGACGGCUGCACAGAAAAUGAUAAGGCGUUGCUUGAAAAAUUACAGUACGAAGCUGCCCGUGUAGUGACUAGUCUAACGAGAUUUGUUUCAAUUGAAAGACUUCUUAAAGAAAUAGGUUGGGUAUCACUAUCAGAUAGAAGAAAAAUACAGAAAUUAGUUUUCGUAUAUAAAGUUCACCGUGGUAUUGUGCCAAGCUAUGUAGCAGAUCUAUUUCCUAAUAAUGUCGCGAAUUCUACUCCAUACUGUCUUUGAAACGAUAAGAAUUAUGUGACAAUUUCACGUCGGACACAUAUUUUCUCGAAUUCCUUUGUUCCAUCUUCAAUAGACUUUUGGAAUUAUUUAGAAGAAUCUAUAAGGAAUGCUGAAAAUUUAAAUAUUUUUAAAUCUCGUCUUAACUCAUUAAGGACGCAGAUCGCAUUUAUGCGUUCAUUUUAACUCUUAUCGAGUACCGCAUGUCGUAUUUAUCCGUCAAAAGAUAACAGGCGUGUAUGCCGAGGAUCGCAUAAAUGCGCUAUCCGCCUGAUAGUACUGUAUGUCGCGUGACGUGAUUUUACGUUUGUAAGAGUACUAACGAUUGGACUGCUGUCAAAGUCAACCAAUGAAAAUAUUUUACUCUAAAGAUUUAUAAAACCUCGAAGCGAUCGAAACAAUCAAAAUAUUUAUUAUUUAAGCAUGUAUUUUUAAUAUACUCAUCACUAAAUAUCGUAAUUAGAAAGUUAUUUCUAGGUAGUACCUGUUUUAUCUUCUGAUUCUAUUAUACUGCAGAAUCUUUCUUUUUUAUUCAGUAUUUUUAAUUUUAUUAAAUCAAGUAUAAUUUUGUUCUUUCGUAAUGUCAUUUGCUUUAACGUUUAGCAAUAGAUGACAUUUGAAUAAAUAUAAAAUAAUCAAAUAAUGACUGUUUUUCUAUGUCAGAUCAUCAGUUUUCCAUAUUCAGUUGCUUCAGUUGGCCUGCAAAACGAUUUUGCAAAUCAAACUAAUUGUAAAUUUUAAAUUAUUGAAUAGAUCAUAAAUUGUAGUAUCAGUUGUGAAAAUUUCAGUUUUGUUCAUCUUUUAUAAACAGAUGUUUGCCCCUAAUAUUGACCAAAGGAUGCCUAGAUCUUAUCGAUUGUUGAUUAUCAGUGAAAAUCCACAGGCAUACAAAGCAGAUAAAUUGAUAAGAUGCUCAGGAAUGUAUCGGAAAAUUGAUACCAGUAAUUAAGCGGCGAUAUGGCUGCAGGUAUUAAUGAGUUAAAAACAAAUUUAAACCACCUAUUGUUCCUAAUUUUUUUCUAAAUGGAGAAAGAAGUCUGGCAGUUCAUCAUGCACGCAUCAGAAAUCGUUGUAGUAAUCUUAAUACAGAUCUUUGUAGAAAUAAUUUGAGGAUAAACUCUACUUGUAAUUGUGGAAACAGUGUGGAGGAUGCAGAACAUUAUUAUAAAGUGUCCAUUAUAUAGUUAUCAAAGAAUACAACUUUUUCGCGCGACACGUACGUUUCAUCCAUUAAGUCUAGAUACUCUCCUGUUUGGAAAAGAAACUCUAUCAAAUGAAGAAAACUCAGUAAUUUUCAGCGAAGUUCAGACAUAAGCAGAUGAACAUAUAUGUGUAAAUUAACUUAUAUAUAAUGUAUAAACCCCCAAUGUCUGUCGGCAAUAAGGUAAUAACGAUACUACUUGUACCCACUCCGGAUGGCCUUAGGAUGCUGAACUCUCAACAACAUUUUUUUUCCUUCUCUUAAAUUCUUUUGUCUUGUUUUCAAACAAUAUUGACAUUUGGUUUGUUUAUUAUAAUCUUCCUUUUUUGGUAUGUAUAGGUCUAGCUGCUAUACAACUAUUGUGAACUAUUGUAGGGGAGAACCGUUUACUGAUGUUGUUAGAACUCGUGAUUCAACCCUUUUGUUACUUUUGAUAUCAUUAAUUGUAUAUGCAUAUAUAUAUAUAUAUAUAUAUAUAUAUAUAUAUAUAUAUAUAUAUAGAUAUAUAUCAUUGUACAUGUUAUAAAAAAGGAGCAAUAAAAUAUGUUUAAACUAAACUAAACAGUCGUUUGCAUGAUACACGUCUAUUGAGAAAAAGUUCUACAUUAAAAUAAAACAGUAGACCCACUAGUGAUAGGAUCAUGCAUGUUCUUCUGACCCCACAAGCUUAACUAGUCUUUUGCUAUGUUUUGCUUCUGUAUAGAUACAUGGUCAUGGUUUCUACAUACUGCUAGGUGCCCAUUAGAUGCAAAAUAUUUGAGCACCAGCUACUAUACCUUGAUAAAUUAUUUAACACGUUGUUCCUUUAAGUAUAAAUUAAGUAAAACCGGCCCGGCGUUAUGAAGUAAAAUGUCUCCGAGGCUCUCAACAGGUUCAUCAAGUGAAUAAAAUAGAUGAUGUUACAUUUCAAAUGUCUAAGCUCCAGCUAUUAUGGUUUCAGAUAAUGAUUUAAAAAAUGUUUUAACCUUUUUGAUGCCAGAAAGUUGCGCGGAUAUAGAAUCUAUUUGUAUAACAGUUAAAUAAGCGGAAAACAACCCCAUGCUUUUCGGUAUUCUAGACCAACAUGUAGGACAGAAGAUGUAUUGUAAAAUAUUAUGUUAAAAAUCUUAAGAUUGCUUUUACAAUUCCUAGUGUCUUUUUAACAAAGAAACGGGAUCUCCUUGGCUGAGGGGUACAAUCACUUCAAAUCAGUACCUCCUUUGAGGUGUAGCAUUCUCCACGUGAGUAAGCCUUUCAAAACUUUCAAAAAAAUUGUCAAUGGUUCUACCGAGGUGCAAGCCAAUACCUAACAAUGCCUAGAGGGGCACUAGGUGUCUUCAUCUGCAAUCAAAAGCUAGAAAAAAUGCAAUAUUACCUAAGGUAUGUCGGUUUGACUCUAGACCAAAUAAAAUCAAUAACUAAACAGACAAUAUAUGAAGUCGUCUAGGAAGCCAAUUAAUAUUGUGUCAAGUUUGAUAAAAAUCUGUCUAACAAAAUUCAAUGAAAUACCAUAUUGUGUCUACAUGAGAUUUCAAACUGAUAGCUGUUUUCCUUGCCGCAUGUAUUUUGCUUAGCUGAACAAAUAAUUAGAUAUGUCUCUUCAAGGUAAGUUAACCUGAAUAAUCCAGUUUUUCAUUCUAAAAAGUAUAUUGUUUCAUAGUCUGCCUUUCGAAGCACUAUGUAAGGAUUCGCGUUAUUUCUUUUGUGAACAUGUGAUUUUGAUGACGUGAUUUUGUAUUACUGGUGAAUAUGUUUAAAUCCUUGUAAAUCCAGUAGAAUAAAAGAGAACAGAUACACGAAUAAAAACUGUUAUAAUAGAUAUUGAUUCCAUAAUAUUAUUAAUAUAAAUGUUAAAGUAAUAUUCAAUAAACUAUCAUAUUUCUGCUCCAUAGAAUUUCGGCUUUUUUGCAUAUAUAAAGCACAUUUCAUUUGUGCAGAUCAUGACAGCGGCUAUACUUGUGUUUAAGUCUAUGUAAUCCUUUUUUCGCUAUGCUUUAUGUUUAUAGUUCCAGAAGAGGAUUGCAACCUUUCAGUCAGAAUAGUCAUUCCAAUAUUAUGUAUGAUUCAGUUGAUCGGGAGACUAUCAAAUUUUGUCUUCUACAGACAUCAAAAAGUGAGAGUGCUUCUUAUGAUGAAAACGAGGGAGGAAAUGCGGGCUGUCACAGAUUAUAACCCAGGAAUCCAUAGUCUGAUUACACGGGAGAAAACUUCUCAUGAAGGUCGGAGGUUCAAAAAUGGAAGAGUUUCACCUUUAGAUUUAAACACACGACUAAAGAUGGCUACAGAUAAACAUGAUGAACCACAGUUGUUCCACCGAUACAAAAAACGCUCAGAUAUUGAUUGGCUGUUAUUUAUAUAGUGUCAUAAUGUUCCUAUCUCAUGCUACUGAAGUAUAUUGAAGUUGAUUUGCGGGACAGUACAUCUGGCCACGUUUGUAGUGUCUGAUAUUUUAUCAAUAUGCUGACAUAAUUCCAAUAUUAUAUCGAUUAUCUUAAUCGAGACGGGUUGAUCUUGUGUUUGCUAUUUGCACAUAUCUUUGAUAUUCGCUCCAAAAUCUUGUGACAAUACCUGCAUUGUUUACUGUUACAAUAUCAUAUAGAUAUGUUUGCACUGAAAGUUAAUUAUAUAUGUCAAUCUUUUCUUUUCACUUGCUUUUAAUUACUUAAUUAACGUUAUAAAUAUUAUUAAUAUAAGAAAACAUAACAUUUUAUUUACGUUUUAAAUAUUAGGUUAUUCAACAUUGUUCUGUACAAUACGGAAAUAUAUUUGGACGAGUACCCGGCUUGGAAAACCAUAUUAGACGAGCCGCUAGGCGAGUCCAAUAUGGUUUUCCCAACUAGGUGCGGGUCCAAUUAUAUCUCGUUUCGAGCAGUACAAUGUUAAACAACCUUUUCAUUUCAUUUUUUUUUAUUUUAAAUACAACUAAAAUGAUUCACUGAACAUAGUUUUUCUGCCUUUUCUGAUUUCAAGACGCAUAAACAAACUCUCUACAUAGAGCGCCUUCUUCACACUUUAUAUUCGGAACAUAUUCACGCGUUUCGGGCUUUAUCGUAUAUUUAACAUGAGGAGGUUGAAACGUCCAAAUACGAAAAAAUACAGGAUUUUUGUACCCACGUGCGUCGAAUCAUGCGUUGUUUUUUCACGGCUAUACAAAAAAUAUAGAUAUAGAAUAAUAAUGUGUAUUUCUGAAAAAUGUCAAUAUCGCUUAGUAUUAUUUUUGUAUGUAAUACAGAAUUAUUGUGUAUAAAUUCUGGAUUAAGAGCCAUUCUGAAUUAAGCAUUUCAUAUGUUGCUUUCAAUUGUGAUUCAAAGCUUAAAUAACUGCCGUAUUUUUGUUGCUAUUCUUAAAUCUAGACAACCUUUUUGUCGGACAAGAUAGAAAUAUUAUACAAACAAGUGAACAAUAGAGCUCGUUUUCGUAAAUUAUCUUUAGUAAUGCUGUUAACAUAAGUUCAAGCUUUUUUUGGUUGUGAUUUUUUCUUGUGUCGAAGUCAAAACCAUAAGUCCUAUUAACAUAAUCAACACACCCACCACAUUGACUCUGCAAAGAAACGAAACUUUGUCUUAUUUGGUAACAACAUGUAAUUUCUUUGUUGCAUGAAAAGUAAAGGUAAAACUUAAAUUUGUAAAAUCACUAUAGCUGCACUCCUAGUGUUGUAAAAUGUUUAAAUUAUAUGUUUUCCUGACAGGCAUUAUAUUGGGAGAGAGGUUAAUGUAUUGGUCAGGGAGAACUAAGUGAUUUUUCAAAAGCCAUGAUUUCAAUGUUUUUUUUUUUUUUGUUUUUUUUUUUUUUGCUAUGGGUCUUCGUAACAUGUAAGCCUGCGAGGUACCAAAGAAGAAAGAACUGUCAACAAUAAUUAUACUGCAAAACAAAAAGAUAUUAAUGUUGCCGUCAUUUUGAAGAACUUUUUCUCUCUAAGGUCGUUUACCCAGUGUGCCGCAGUGAGUUUUCAUGAAACUGCAUGUUUCACUUCCAAACUGCAUGAACCAUUCAAUAUAUCUUUUUCGCCAGUAAUCAUUGAUAAAAAAAUUAUUUUAUAAACUGAAAUGUUUUCAAUAUGCAUCAAACAAAUAUAACACAAAUGAGAGACAGACCACUGUACAUUGUAAAUGAUUACAAAUGUAUAUGAAUUGAAUUGGUAUGGAAUUCCAUAUAAUUUAAUCCUUGAACAAUUCAGUAGCCCUUUAAGUUACCUUCUGCUGACUUAAUUCUAAAUAAAACUGAUUAAAUGCUUUCAGUUGUCAAAAAUGGCACCUUGCAGAUCCCGUUGCUUAAAUGUAUUCAAUGUAUAAUGUAGAAGGUAGUUGAAGCAAAUUUUAAGUUUUGUCUUUGUGAAAGUACACUCGUAACAAGUUCUUUGAAAAACACCUCAUCAAUAUAUAGCAAGUUUUUCCUUCAGGAAAAAAUGUUUUCAGGAAAUUAAAUGUCACUUUUUCAAUCAUUAAAUCUCAUCUAACAUGGUGAUUUCUUCUGUGAUACAUGAACCGUCACAUUUGUCGCUUUUGAACAUUCUGAUUGUGAUGAAAUACACUUUUGCACAAUUGCAUGUUUUAGUUAAUUACAAGCCUAUGAAAACAUCUUGUAUAAGGGGACCUCCGUGGCCGAGUGGUUAAGGUCACUGACUUCAAUUCACUUGCCCCUGAUAGAUGUGGGUUCACGGAGGGGCACCUGGGGUCUUCCUCCACCAACAAAGCUGGAAAGUUGCCAUAUGACCUAUAAAUUUGUCGGUGAGACGUUAAAUCCAACAAAAUAUAUGAAUAACAAACAUCCUUUAUAAAAUGUCCCGAUUGUUUAUUAAACUAAAGCUCUAUUCGUGAAAAUCGGGUUUGGGUUAAACUUUUCUUAAUGUAUGCGUUUCUCAAAAUAUUUUGAUGAAAUGCUAUAAUGCGACAUACUAACUACUUAAUUGGCCUUUUGUGAGUUAUCGAAAUCAUAUUGAACAGACUGCGGCUGUAAGGGUCCGCGUACGGCACCACCAUGUGAAAGCGUAACAUUACGUCUUGGUCAACUGCGUUGGAAACGCAAGAUAUAAUUAAACCUUUUAUUAUUAGACAAACUGGCAAAUUUGUUAAUUUUGUAACGAUUAGCGACUUCAGUAGAUUUUCACUAUUCUUAUCCGGCGAUUAUAUAUCGGCAAUUAUAUAUCCGAGUAAACCUUAUCGGAGCAUGAGCUGCAUGAGAGGAAGUCACGCUUCGUUAAACACAAUCAAAUUACAGCCUUAAUACCCUUAACAAUUAUGCAUACUCUGUAAAUCGACGCAUUACGAUAAUCUUCUUGGAUUAAAUUUAAAUGAUUUAAGAUUUCUGUAAUUUAGUGUCUUACCGCUUCUAUUCCUCAUUAUUUACCGCCAUGAAACGGACAGUACAACUGAAAGCUUGCGUACAAUAACAAAAAAGAAGCAAUGCGUUUAAAUCAUUUAUUAGUAAAAUGUUGCAAAUAUCACAGAAGAUAUUGUAUUGCAUAAUUUUGACAACAGUUUAUUAUUGUUAACAUCAGCCUGUGUCUAUAGAGUGUUUCCCUGUAGCCAAAGCCGUCAUUCCAUAACAGAAUCUGACCCACAAUUUAGUUCUAAUUUAAUCAAAACAGUUUUGUAACGUACCAAUUGUUUGAUAAUAAAGGUGAAGUUGUAAGUAAUUUGACCGCCUCCCAGCAGGUACACCGACGAUUAAACAACGUUGAAAUAAAGUUGAAAUAUGGUUUGAAAUUACGUAAAAGUUUCAUGUUAACUUUACUGGUGGCUCGCAGUUUUAUAAUAAAUUUGUACUUUUUGUAUCUUUGAAAUUUUCUACAAAAACAUAUUUAGCAUUUCUUGUACAUUGUUUGGUUUAAUAGCUCUUGGAACAAAAAAAAAAAAAUCAUGAAUUUUGCUGUUUUGUAACAUGUUUCAUGUAACAUGGUCAGUUAUAUUAGACGGAGCUCAUAGAUUGCUACCAACGUAUUAACAAAUAUUCCUCAGCAAAUUACACAUGUCUUUUUGCGUGCGUGCAUGCUUGCGUGCGUGUUUGUGUGUGUACGGGUUUAGCGUCUUUUUCAAGCAUGUUCCAGUAAUAUAAACGACGGUGUGUCCUUUUAGUAUUGACCGCAAUGCUCAAUUUUAUAGUGACGCCUUACUUGAAUACCACUCCGUAGUCCCGUGACAUGAUGACAUACCAAAUCAUAUUAUACUGGCACCAAGCUGUCCAAUCCUACAGUUAAUCCCUUGAUGCCGAGAGCCAAACUACUACCACUUUUCCUUGAUAUGACGAAUUCAGGGAGCGAACCUUAUGGUGCUUUUGUCCCAGCUUUGAAAUAUACAAAGUAGCUGAGGACAAUUAAGACCUAAAGUAACACAUUUGAUCACGUGCAUUUAAGUCAAAAGGAGGAGUGUCGGUUUUAGAGAAUUUCGAAUAGGACAAUGCAUGGAACUCUAAUGGACUGAUCCUGCCUCACUUCUUUUAAGUAGCAUGUGCUACUGAACAGAUACCAAACAAAACAUAGUUUAUAUUGGUUUAAACAACGUCUUUCCUCCAACUGCAAAACAACAAACGCCUCCCACCUCAGGAAGAGAAAAUGACCUAUGAUUGUGUCGGGGGCCUCCGUGCCCGAGUGGUUAAGGUCGCUGACUUCAAAAACACUUGCCCUCAUCGAUUAGGGUUCGAGCCUCAAUCGGGGCGUUGAAUUCUUCAUGUGAGGAAGCCAUCCAGCUGGCGUACGGAAGGGAGGUGGUUCUACCCAGGUGCUUGCUUGUGAUGAAAUAAUGCACGUAGGGGCAUCUGGGGUAUUCCCGUGCGUGUUAGUGAGACGUUAAACCAAACAAAAUAAAUAAAUGAAUCAAUAUUACCUUUUGAUGUCACAUAUUGCGAAUAUACACAAUUUUGAAGUAAAUUUUAAUCAGAAUUUAUUCUUUUAAGCAACGAGGAUUUCAAUUAGCUUAACCUAAAACUUAAUCUCAGAAUUAGUGCAUCUGGGUGAUCUUCGCCGUGUCGAAAAAAAGAAAAGCAAAACAAAACAAAACAAACAAAAAACGACAUCCAAAAGAUCAUCUAUAAAAUAAUUAUGCGGGCAGUAUGUUUGUGGUGAACAUAUGAUUAUUUUAUAUAUUAUAAAUUACAGUUCUUCAACGAAUUUUAUGUUUGCUGCAAUCAUGAUUAUUAGGAAAACUUGGAAAAUGUGCCUCGUGACUUUUGAUCUUAUUUGUCAUAUUGUUACUUCACAGUUUAAUAAAGGACCUCGGACAUUUUCCUUCUCAGAUUGCCUAUCCAAUUAUGUAAAAACUGACCUUGCUAAAAUUUCAUGAUAAAGAUAAUUGGAGAUCAUUUCUUGAUAUAUUCGACUAAUUUUACAAGUUUGUGAACAUUUCUCAUUCUGAUUUCUUUUGAAAUAUUAACAUUUAUCAUUUUUUCAGUUUUAAACAUCUUUACCCUAGUGAUGCAACAAAAUAUUUUUCACGCCUUUGUAAAAAAUAUUAUAUACGUAUGCUGAAAAAAUGACAAUUAAGUAAACUGAGAAACUAAACACACCAAAGAUGCAUAUACAGGGAUCAUUAAAAAAACAAAUGAUUCGUCCAGAACGUGCCCAAAUGUGUCAUAAAAUAAUAAAACCCAUACAUCCCUGGACCCUAAGCAGUCCCCUAUUCCCAUCCGCUGCAACUGAAUAAGGCCAGCUACGCCAAUGCAUGUCAAAUAAUUUGAGGCCUGCUACAUCACUGCAUGUAUUUAAACAUAGCCCUCGCUAAAAUAACCGUUCAUUUUUGUACAUGCGUAUGUCAGUACAGUAUAACAAUAGAUGUCAAGAAAACAGACAAUAGGCUAUGGUUGUUACAUAAGUUAUCGUUGGGGCACAGGCUAAAAGAACUGAAGUAGAGAUAUGUGCUAAAAGUUUAAGUUUUCGCUUUUCUAUUAUUUUGAAAUAAAGUUAUGUUAAUGGUCUUAUUUCAGUAAGAAAAAUACACAUUUUACAUUUUUUCAAAAAAAAAAUAUAUAUAUAUAUAUUACCCUUCGUCAUAAACUGUUCGAAUUUUAAGACAACGAAUAUGAAUUGAAAAUUAGUUUAUGUGACAAUUUGAUAAGAAUACUACGUAUUUAAGGUAUUUGGAGCCAUUAUAUAAAUGUAUGAAUGUAUCAGCUAUUGAUUUGACCCUAGCAUAGUGUCCGAUGUCCUUCACAGAUGAUCGUUAACCUUACUGUGUGGUAUUAAAACAAAAUGUAUCAAAUAUAUUAAAAAAGAAAUUGAUAUAAUUCUUUUAGUAUGAUGAGCUGUAUCAUGUUUGGACCUUUUGAAAAGCAAAGAAAGGAUGUACUUAAUGGCUGUGUAUCAAAUAAUCAAAGUUUUCGAGUGGUUUGUCGCUUGAUAAAUUACGUGAGAAAGGAGCGAAAGCGAAACCUCAGCUUUGAAAUAUUGUUAUAAAAUCAUGCUGGUUUUCAUUUCUAUGAAAAAGGCAAAGACAUAUAUAUUUUGCAGUUAACAACUGUUGACGUGCGGAUCGGUUAGAAAAGAGCAAGGCGUACUUUUCAUUACGACAAUGUUCUAUAAGAACCAUGUAAUCAUGAACGGUAAAAUGUUCUAACCCAUUGCAAUCAAGCAUGUUGUACCUAAAAUGCGCAUAACUGGGUACUGUGCAUACGGACUAUAUGGUAAUUUAUCUUCCAUCGUGCACCAGUCAUAUUGUCUCAGUAUUUUAUAUCACAGAGGCACUUUUCAUAUUUUAUACUUUCGUCAACGUUACAAAGAUACUUAGAUGAACUCUCUUAAUAUAGCUCCGGUCGAUGUUACAAAAUUGUUCUGACUGACUGAUAUGGAAGUGUAUGUUAAUUUUCGUUUAAUGAUAAGUGAACACUAGACUUUGUAUAAUUAUGCAACAUUAGUGGGCAAUUUGAAUGAAAUAAACAAUAAAAGUGUGCCUCAAUAUAAUUUCAAAUUCAAAAUCAUUUCUGAGAUGGCUCUCAUUUAUAAUUUGGAGUCUUCCCGUAAAACUGUGAAUAUUUUUCUCUAUUCUGUAUGUGUUUGAUUACAUUUCGCCUACCAUAUCCACAUGGCCGUGUCUUCUAGACAAAAAGUUCAUUAAAGAAAUUCCAAGUGUUUUUCUGCAAAAAAAUGCGGAGUGUCACUGCGAUAUGAAAUAUUGAGACGGUGUGACUGGUGCACGAUGGAAGAUGAAUUUCCCCAUGUCCAUGCAUAUUACCUAAAUGCGAGUUUUAAGUGAAAAAAUGCGCGGUUGAAGUGGGUUAGUAUAUUCUACAGUCCAUGGCUGUGAUUUUUAAAGUAUACGUAGGGUUAAACAUUGCAGUGUUUUAUUUUCUCGUCAGGUGUCAAUGGUCUCACUCUUACCAAUGUUGUUUGGUGGAAACAACUAAGGAUCUGGUAUUAACAACAUUACCUUCAAGUAUGUCUGAUAAUACAUCAGGAAAACAAAACGGUCCACUGAAGAGUUAGAUUGUGCCACUGAUAUGACCGAAUUAAAACUGUUCAUUCAAUUUUAUUACAUAAAUUUCAAGAAACAAAUAGCAACUCUUUUCUUUAAAUGAGUCAUUGAAUUACAUUAAAAUCAACAUAUAUGUGUGUGCGUGCGUGCGCGCGCACGUGAGUAUGAGUGUGUGUGUGUUUUCCGUAAAAUUUGUAAAAUCAGUUUCAUAAUAUCUAUAGCAGUGAUGUUCGUUGUCUAUAAUAUCUUGUGUCAUUAUUAGAUUGUAGGGAGAGUAAUGAACUGUGAUAUGAAAUCUAUGUAUUAAACAAGAUACACGUUCUAUGUUUUGUUUUGUAUGUGUAAAAUGCUACGUUUUAUUUGCAAGUUUUUGUAUGACAUAAAUUAUCACGAAUAAAUCAAAUUUAAAUAGAAUUCAUAAUCAGUUAGAAUGUGACAGUUACUUGUCAUUUCCUUCAUAGACAUAUUUAAAAAGAAAUAUUUCCUAGUCAAUAGAAAGACUUGUAUCUCUUCUCUUAGUCUUAGCGUUGUAUAUAGUUAUUUCCAUUUAUGUCUAAUCUUUUUGUUAAUUAUCUAUUUUUCACUAGCUAUUAGAAAGGAACAACAGCUGCAGUAUAUCAAUUAUUUCUGGUACAACAGUUAUUAUUCUUCUCUCUUUUUGUAAGGAUGAAUAUAAUUAUGUCUAUAUAUGUUUGAUUUUCUAAGUUUUUUGGUAGAGUACUAUAUCACACUUGGAAAGAGCUACUGCUUGCACAAUAAUCGUAUGUCUACUAUUAGGCAAUUAUUUUGUAAAAGUUUUGCUAAAUUUGAUACGUAUUAUUUUCAAUACGUUUUUAUACAAUAUUAUAGCUUACAACAUCUAUAUAUGUUUGUAUGGUAUGUAAUGCACAUUCUGAGGUAAUGUUUAGACCAAAAUGAGCCAUGUUUGAACCAAAAUUCUUAAAAUCUUAAACCAAAUGCAUAAUAUUUUUUUUUCAAACAAACUGACAUUCCUGACCUAAAUAGUUGGCAUGCUAAAAGUUGGGUAGGGGAGACGACACGUGACGACACGUGACCUUUUUACUCUGCCUGAAGCAGAGCGGGGAAGGUAUUCAGGAAGGUUCUGUCUUCACAAAUUACACGUAGCCGAUUUUGAUAAUAUACGAAAUACUAUGCACGAAAUACUAUGGUAAAGGUGGCGUUUCACAGUUGAUCAACAUAGAAGUAUCAGCAACGUUUUCAAUCUAAUGAUAUAUUUAAAGACUGGCGGGGAAUAAAACGAGAGCAGAAACUGUUUGCGUAAAUCAUUUACAAAUAAUCAUAAUAGAAAAAUCAAGUUGAUGAAGUUAUUUACUAAAGAUAUUGCAUAUGAUAUGUAAAUGUCGUUCCCAGUUGUGCUGCACUAUUAUUUUUCUAUAUUGAUGACUUAUUGUAUACAUUGUUCAUUAUUCAUUGAAACUAUUUUACUAUUGUGUAUUUAGGUAUUGCGAAUUUAACUUCUUCGGAUAUUCUAAAUUCAGUUUAGAUUCUGUUAGGAAUUUUGCUUUAUUAUUGAGUGGAUUCAACUUAGACAAUGCUAUGACAUGGGCUGUUCUUGCAUAUCAGAAAUUGACUUAACAUCUAGUUGAUAAAUUUUAUGGAAUUUGAAUCAUAACUUUUAGAAAUAAAUAUUAGUAUUGUGAAUA